rnacentral:rRNA from 1 species
UACGUGAGGUCGCAAGCGUUUGUCCGGAAUUAUUGGGCGUAAAGGGUGCGUAGGCGGCGCGGUAAGUCGGGUGUGAAAUCUCGGAGCUUAACUCCGAAACUGCAUUCGAUACUGCCGUGCUUGAGGACUGGAGAGGAGACUGGAAUUUACGGUGUAGCGGUGAAAUGCGUAGAUAUCGUAAGGAAGACCAGUGGCGAAGGCGGGUCUCUGGACAGUUCCUGACGCUGAGGCACGAAGGCCAGGGGAGCAAACGGG